CCUACGGGCGGCUGCAGUGGGGAAUAUUGGACAAUGGGGGCAACCCUGAUCCAGCCAUGCCGCGUGUGUGAAGAAGGCCCUCGGGGUGUAAAGCACUUUCAGUGAGGAAGAACGCCUGGUGGUUAAUACCCAUCAGGAAAGACAUCACUCACAGAAGAAGCACCGGCUAACUCCGUGCCAGCAGCCGCGGUAAUACGGAGGGUGCGAGCGUUAAUCGGAAUUACUGGGCGUAAAGCGCGCGUAGGUGGCUUGAUAAGCCGGUUGUGAAAGCCCCGGGCUCAACCUGGGAACGGCAUCCGGAACUGUCAAGCUAGAGUGCAGGAGAGGAAGGUAGAAUUCCCGGUGUAGCGGUGAAAUGCGUAGAGAUCGGGAGGAAUACCAGUGGCGAAGGCGGCCUUCUGGACUGACACUGACACUGAGGUGCGAAAGCGUGGGUAGCAAACAGGAUUAGAUACCCCAGUAGUC
rnacentral:rRNA from 1 species